UACGGGGGGGGCAAGCGUUGUUCGGAAUUACUGGGCGUAAAGCGUGCGCAGGCGGUUCGUUGUGUCUGAUGUGAAAGCCCCGGGCUCAACCUGGGAAUGGCAUUGGAAACUGGCGAGCUAGAGUGUGGCAGAGGGGGGUGGAAUUCCGCGUGUAGCAGUGAAAUGCGUAGAGAUGUGGAGGAAUACCGAUGGCGAAGGCAGCCCCCCUGGGAUAACACUGACGCUCAUGCACGAAAGCGUGGGGAGCAAACAGG
rnacentral:rRNA from 1 species